UACGUAGGGGCCCAGCGUUGUCCGGAUUCAUUGGGCGUAAAGCGCGCGCAGGCGGCCCGGUGUGCCGCCCGUGAAAUCCCCCGGCUCAACCGGGGGGGGUCGGGCGAGACUGUCGGGCUGGAGGCGGCUAGGGGGCAGCGGAAUUCCCGGUGUAGUGGUGGAAUGCGUAGAUAUCAGGAGGAACACCUGUGGUGUAGACAGCUUACUGGACCACUUCUGACGCUGAGACACGAAAGCGUGGGUAGCAAACAGG
rnacentral:rRNA from 1 species